rnacentral:rRNA from 1 species
CCUACGGGAGGCAGCAGUGGGGAAUAUUGGACAAUGGGCGAAAGCCUGAUCCAGCCAUGCCGCGUGUGUGAAGAAGGCCUUCGGGUUGUAAAGCACUUUCAGUGGGGAAGAAAGCCUUGGGGCUAAUACCCUCGAGGAAGGACAUCACCCACAGAAGAAGCACCGGCUAACUCCGUGCCAGCAGCCGCGGUAAUACGGAGGGUGCGAGCGUUAAUCGGAAUUACUGGGCGUAAAGCGCGCGUAGGCGGUCUGAUAAGCCGGUUGUGAAAGCCCCGGGCUCAACCUGGGAACGGCAUCCGGAACUGUCAGGCUAGAGUGCAGGAGAGGAAGGUAGAAUUCCCGGUGUAGCGGUGAAAUGCGUAGAGAUCGGGAGGAAUACCAGUGGCGAAGGCGGUCUUCUGGACUGAUACUGACGCUGAGGUGCGAAAGCGUGGGUAGCAAACAGGAUUAGAUACCCGGGUAGUC